CACCCACACCAGUCUUUACCAUCUGUCUCUUUCUAUAGCGUAGGCUGGUAGUAUCUAUCUCUAUCCACAUUUCGUUCUCUCUCUUCAAUCGCAUCUCCUGCUCUAUCUCCAUUUCUACCCAGCUUCGCCGGUACCGUUUUCUCAUAUUCUCUCUGCGCGCGCCACUAUGGCGCAUCACUAUAGGAAGAUAUAGUGCGGGCCUGACUACAUUGCACGCAACUAUACAACGUAUAGUAGUACGGCGCAACGCGGCAACGGAAGACAAGGCCGUACCACUCGCGGCGAACUGAGGAUACGAAAACAGUUUCAUACGACCGACGCCAAUGGUCUACGUAUCACCACUAUGAUAGCUCGACAAAGUAAAUAAUAUCGUGGCUAUUCAUUAAUCAAACACGAUGCGGCGGUGGUCGUGAACUUUUACCGGUUCCGUGCGGGUGACGUUCCGCGAUGUGAGACGUACAACAUCAGGUUCUGGACCAAGCACCGCUCAAGCGGAUGAAACAUAGCCCUGUGGACGUUGAUGGAUUCGCGAACCAGCAUCAAAGGAUACUAAAUCUCUAUUAUCUGCUCCUGGCAAAGAUGAUUCCGUUCCGGGACCAUCGUGAAUUCCGCCUGAUCGCCUCCGUUUUCCAAAAUUUUGUAUACACCACCAUAUCUCACAUUAUUGGCAACUUAUUGAAAUGUUCCAAAUUUAUAUCAGCAUCUUAACUUACACUACCGAUCAUAAGUAUUAACACAUUCCGUACAAUCGAAAUAAUAUUAUCCAUUAAUAAUAAAUCCACGAUAAUUAUGUUAUUA